rnacentral:rRNA from 1 species
UACGUAGGGGGCAAGCGUUGUCCGGAAUUAUUGGGCGUAAAGAGCGUGUAGGCGGUCCGGUAAGUCAGCUGUGAAAGUCAAGGGCUCAACCCUUGAAUGCCGGUUGAUACUGUCGGGCUAGAGUCCGGAAGAGGCGAGUGGAAUUCCUGGUGUAGCGGUGAAAUGCGCAGAUAUCAGGAAGAACACCAAUGGCGAAGGCAGCUCUCUGGGACGGUACUGACGCUGAGACGCGAAAGCGUGGGGAGCGAACAGG